rnacentral:rRNA from 1 species
UACGGAGGGUGCAAGCGUUAUCCGGAUUCACUGGGUUUAAAGGGUGCGUAGGUGGGUUGGUAAGUCAGUGGUGAAAUCUCCGAGCUUAACUUGGAAACUGCCAUUGAUACUAUUAAUCUUGAAUAUUGUGGAGGUCAGCGGAAUAUGUCAUGUAGCGGUGAAAUGCUUAGAGAUGACAUAGAACACCAAUUGCGAAGGCAGCUGGCUACACAUAUAUUGACACUGAGGCACGAAAGCGUGGGGAGCAAACAGG